ACCAAGAUGUGGGGGUGAAGGGGUGGGGAAGGGGAGGGAAGAUAGGAAAGGCAUGAAAGCUCCACGCUCUCCCCCAUACCUUGCUCUGUACCUCUUUUCCAUUUGGCUGCUUCUGAGUUUUGUCCUUUAUAACAAAUUGGUAAACCUAAACACUAUUUCUAGUGCAUUAUGGAACCUGAAAAGGGAUCCAUGGAAACCGCCAAUCUUCCUACUGGUGUCUGAAAUGGCUGAAGUCUUAUAAAACUGAGCCCCAGAAGCUGUGAGGUCUCCCAGAUAGCUGGUGGCAGAAUUGAGUUGAACUGUUCAACACUCAUCAGGUAUCAGAGAAUUGAUUGUUGUCAUCCUGCGAGUUUUAAAAAUGAUGCGUUUGUAGCUCUAUCUGUUCAAGUUCAUUGUCUUGUGCUCAACAAAGAAUGAAGACACAGACACAGAGGAGUGAGCAAAGGGCAAAGCAAAGACCUGGAAGUGAACAGAGAUGGCUCUCACAGCCAAGUGGCACAACAGGAGGCACCCUGGGAAACAGAAAGGCCUGUUGAAAUGAGCACAGACUCCCAGGAAAGGCAGCCAUGAGACAGCCAUUGAAAGCAUGAGAGGUGGCUUGCAAUUCUCCUGGACCUGGUUGGGAACUUGAACAUCCUUUCAUUCUUGAUGAUGGUUAUUUAUAGAGAGACCCUAAACGGGGAUGUUGUGGGCUCUGUUUUGUCCACUGCAGCUGAUGUGAAUCUGAAGCAACCAUCUUGGGAGUUACUUGCUCCUCAAGCCUGCAGACACGUCUCUUGAUUGGUUAGUUCAUCUGCCAAGAGAUUGUUGGGUUGUCUGUGGGUUAUAGAGUUGUGGUCGCAGAUGUCUCUCCUGAUGCCUGACUAUAGGCCAGGUUGUGGUGUGGUUUGUUAGCAUCUGCAUUCUGAUACCAUAAAGAUACUCCUGGCCCCAUAAUACCUGACUGGUUGGAAUGUUUAUUAUUAAUUCCAUUCUGUAAGCCAAUUACCUUUUGCCUAGUUUUUGUUUUCCUUCACCAAAACAUGUAAAUUUUUUGUAUAACUGACUGCAGUGUUAAUAAACAGAAUCCUUUUGUUUCAGCUGGA